rnacentral:tRNA from 1 species
GCACCCUUAGUUCAAUGGAUAGAAUAUAAGAUUCCGGUUCUUACGAUAUGCGUUCGAUUCGCAUAGGGUGUACCA